AUUGAAAUUUACACAAGAUUUGGCGGUAUUUUAAUCUUUUUAGAGGCACCUGUUCUAUAAUUGAUGCUCCACGAUAAUAUUUACUUUUUUUAAAAAAUUUAUAUAUCGUCGAAGAUAAAUAUUUUAUAAGAAAUAAAAUAUUUGGAAUAUUUAGUAUAAAUAAAGAAUCAGAUCAAGAUAUAGUUUAUAAAAAAGAAGAAAUGGGUUACAAUUUUUUUUAUUAAUAGAUUUUAAGAUUUAAACUUAAAUGAAAGUGGAUUUAAAAGUAAUAUAAUUAAAUUUUUAUUAUAUGAAUAAAGUUCUAAAAUAUGCACAUAUUGCCCGUCGCUCCAUAAUUGGAUAAGUCGUAACAAAGUAAUAGUACUGGAAAGUGUUAUUAGAAAGCAAAUUAAAGCUAUAAGAGUUUUUUAUUUACAUUAAAAAGAUAAAAUUAUUUAAUUUUAAUUUGAUAUUUAUUUAAUUAUUAAUAAAGUUUAUUUUAAGUAAAGUUAAUUAAAGUAUAUAAAUAGAACUAAUUGAUUAAUGAUAGAUUAAUAGUAAAGUAAUUGAAUUAGGUAAAAUAAUGAAAAGAAAAAUUAAAAUUUUGUACCUUGUGUCUCAGGGUUUAUUAAAUUUAUAAUUGAAUUAUUUGUUCUCGAUUUAAUGAGAGUUAUUAAUUUAUAAAUGUUUUUGUUACAUAAAAAUUUUUCAUAAAUUAAUAGAAAUGAAAAGUUAUUCGAGCAUUAAUAUAUCUAGUUUUUUAAGAAAGAAAUUUAAUUUCAAAUUAUUUAAUAUAAAUUUAUAUUUAAUUAUUAAUUUAUUUAAAAAUAUCAAUAAUUUUAGGGAUAAGCUUAAAAUUAAAAAUAUAAAAUAACUGGUUUAUUUAAUAAUUUAUAGGAUUAGAAGUGUUCAUUAUUGUUUUAUAACAAUUUAUAAAAUAUAAUAAAUUUUUAAUUAUUUUAUUUUUUAUUAAAAUAAAUUAUUAAAUUAUAAUUUGUUUGUAAUAAUGAUAAAAUUAGUACUUAAUAUUUUAUUAAUAAUAAAAAUUUAGUAAGGUUUAUAAAAGGAAUUCGGCAAGUCUAUAUUCUUGCCUGUUUAUUAAAAACAUGGUUUUUUGAUUAAUAAUAAUAAAUUUAGCCUGCUCAAUGAUUAAGAUUAAAUUGCUGCAGUAUUUUGACUGUACAAAGGUAGCAUAAUCAUUUGUUACUUAAUUAGUAACUGGAAUGAAGGGUUGGACAAGGGAUAUUCUGUCUCUUAUGAAAUUUUUAAGAAAUUUAUUUUUUAGUAAAAAAGCUUAAAUUUAUUUAAAAGACGAGAAGACCCUAUAGAAUUUUAUAUAAAUUGCAUAAUAAAUUAAAGGAAUUAAUUUAUAAUUAAGUUAUUUAUAUUUGAUUUGCCCGAUUGAAAAAUUUAAUAAACUUUUUUAUAUUUUUUUCUAUAU
rnacentral:rRNA from 1 species